rnacentral:rRNA from 1 species
AAGCAAUACCGCGAGGUGGAGCAAAACUCAAAAAACGAAUCUCAGUUCGGACUGUAGGCUGCAACUCGCCUACACGAAGUUGGAAUUGCUAGUAAUCGUGGAUCAGCAUGCCACGGUGAAUACGUUCCCGGGUCUUGUACACACCGCCCGUCACACCAUGGGAGCUGGUAACACCCGAAGUCAGUAGUCUAACCGCAAGGAGGACGCUGCCGAAGGUGGGAUUAGCGACUGGGGUGAAGUCGUAACAAGGUACC